UACGUAGGGUGCAAGCGUUAAUCGGAAUUACUGGGCGUAAAGCGCACGUAGGCGGAUCUUUAAGUCAGAGGUGAAAUCCCAAGGCUCAACCUUGGAACUGCCUUUGAUACUGGGGAUCUCGAGUCCGGAAGAGGUUGGUGGAACUGCGAGUGUAGAGGUGAAAUUCGUAGAUAUUCGCAAGAACACCAGUGGCGAAGGCGGCCAACUGGUCCGGUACUGACGCUGAGGUGCGAAAGCGUGGGGAGCAAACAGGG
rnacentral:rRNA from 1 species